UUCAUAGGAUCACCCAUUUUAUUCAAUAAUAUUGAAAUAUUCGAUGUGACAAGCCGUUAUGGUUUAAGUGCAGUGAGUCCUAUUGAUGUGUUUUCUUUUAAGCAACUAAAGACAUUGACAGUGAAGUGCUGGUAUAAAGAACCGGAAAUUUGGUUGGAUUUCGUAUUAGAACAUCCAACAAUAGAACGACUUGAAAUUGGUAUUUUAAACGGCUUUACAUUUUAUGAUCCAUCAGAUCCAGGCAACACGUUGAAGCUACUGAAAUUUUUAGCAGCCCAAAAUUGGUUCAAUAAGGUUACUGUAAUGUUUAGACUUCCAAGAAGGAGAGGAAAUUAUAAGAUAUUCGAUGAGUUAUCCGCAAUGGAAGUUUUCACAACGAAAAUUUCGCAAAUUUGUGAAAAAACAUCGAAAUUAAAAUCAUUUAUGAAAAUCUAUAAAAUAAAAAAGAACAUUCUAUCAGAUACACCUUAUGUUGAUUUUGAGAAAUGUGAACAAUAAAAAUAAAAUGUACUAAAUGAAAAA